rnacentral:lncRNA from 1 species
GCUGGUAUACGCAGGCCGAUGGUUUGACCCCCUCCGUGAAGCCAUGGAUGGAUUCAUGGAGAAGAUAACAGCUAAAACCACCGGAACGGUCACACUCAAACUGUACAAAGGCUCGGUGACCGUAACCGGACGCAAAAGUCCAAACAGCCUAUAUAGACAAGACAUAUCCUCAUUUGAGAACGGGGAUGUGUACAACCAAGCUGAUGCUGCUGGCUUCAUCCAUCUCUAUGGCCUCCCAACUAGAGUCCGAGCAAUGCUUGAACAAGGAAUCUAAAAAGAAAGAAAUGAAAUUUAGUGGAAGUUUGAAUAAAAAAGUUUGGGGGACAUGGG